rnacentral:lncRNA from 1 species
GCCGGGCCCCGCAGGCAUCGGCCUCCUCCAUCGCUGUCGGCGGGGCGGGCGCCUCCGACUCAUUUCGCUUAUUCCGCCGCCCGCCCUGCCGUGCGCGUGUCCGUGUCCGGGCGCGGCGCGGGCGGUGCGGCGCGGCGGAGAGCUCCGGCUUCACCGGUGGCCCCGCUGUGAAAUGAAGCCUGAAGAUGAACAGGAGGCUGAGACCACCCAGACUGCUGGGAAGGUGGAGCCUGUUAAUGCUGUGCUCAUCCAAAGGCACCCAAAUGCCCUGCAGACUCUUGGACAACAGUUGCUCCGUAGUUUGAGGGAGCCAAGAACUCCUGAGCCGAGAAGAAGGUGCUGCAAAAAUUGGAUCUGCCUGUUGGCAGGCCUAUUGUUUCUUGCUGGACUUGUGCUGUUCAUUUUACAUGAGGGGAAUAUCCUUUCUGGUCACCCAAAUGCCAAAGUACACUAUGAAGAACUUCCUUCUGAACAGUGCCCCAGUGAGUGGAUCGGUUACAGAAAGAAAUGUUAUUUCAUCUCAGAGGAGGAGAAAAACUGGACAUCUAGUCAGACCUUCUGUGCUAAGAAUGGAUCUUUGCUUGCUGUUUCUGAAAACCAGAAAGAAAUGCUAAGCGCUUGA